AUUGAGCGCUGGCGGCAGGCUUAACACAUGCAAGUCGAGCGGGGUGAUGGUGCUUGCACUAUCACUUAGCGGCGGACGGGUGAGUAAUGCUUAGGAAUCUGCCUAUUAGUGGGGGACAACAUCUCGAAAGGGAUGCUAAUACCGCAUACGUCCUACGGGAGAAAGCAGGGGAUCACUUGUGACCUUGCGCUAAUAGAUGAGCCUAAGUCGGAUUAGCUAGUUGGUGGGGUAAAGGCCUACCAAGGCGACGAUCUGUAGCGGGGCUGGGAGGAUGAUCCGCCACGCUGGGACUGAGACACGGCCCAGACUCCUACGGGAGGCAGCAGUGGGGAAUAUUGGACAAUGGGGGGAACCCUGAUCCAGCCAUGCCGCGUGUGUGAAGAAGGCCUUAUGGUUGUAAAGCAUUUUAAGCGAGGAGGAGGCUACUUUAGUUAAUACCUAGAGAUAGUGGACGUUACUCGCAGAAUAAGCACCGGCUAACUCUGUGCCAGCCGCCGCAGUAA
rnacentral:rRNA from 1 species